rnacentral:lncRNA from 1 species
AUGAGAACACAUACAGGAGAUAAAUCUUAUUUCUUGAUGUUGGUGGUAAAAGUUUUAGUUAUCUUUAGAAAUAUGCAGACACACAUAACGUCAUAAGAACACAUAUAGGAGAUAAAUCUUAUUUCUUGAUGUUGGUAAAAGUUUUAGUUAUCUUAGAAAUGAACAGAGACACAUGAGAACACAUAUAUGAGAUACAUUUUAUGCAUGUGGUAAAAGUUUUAAUCGGCUUUGCAAUUUACAAAAAACACACCACAAGACAUGAAUACAUGGUAUACCGCCCGUAAAACCACAGGAAUGUAAUGCAUGUGUUGCAGAAUUGAUUGGAAUUAUGGUGACUGAAUAAACUUUAGAAUACAC